AUUGAACGCUGGCGGCAGGCCUAACACAUGCAAGUCGAACGGUAACAGGAAACAGCUUGCUGUUUCGCUGACGAGUGGCGGACGGGUGAGUAAUGUCUGGGAAACUGCCUGAUGGAGGGGGAUAACUACUGGAAACGGUAGCUAAUACCGCAUAACGUCGCAAGACCAAAGAGGGGGACCUUCGGGCCUCUUGCCAUCGGAUGUGCCCAGAUGGGAUUAGCUAGUAGGUGGGGUAACGGCUCACCUAGGCGACGAUCCCUAGCUGGAUUGAGAGGAUGACCAGCCACACUGGAACUGAGACACGGUACAUACUCCGACUGGAGGCAGCAGUGGGGAAUAUUGCACAAUGGGCGCAAGCCUGAUGCAGCCAUGCCGCGUGUAUGAAGGAGGCCUUCGGGUUGUAAAGUACUUUCAGCGGGGAGGAAGGGAGUAAAGUUAAUACCUUUGCUCAUUGACGUUACCCGCAGAAGAAGCACCGGCUAACUCCGUGCCAGCCGCCGCUGUAA
rnacentral:rRNA from 1 species